UAACACAUGCAAGUCGAACGGUAACUUUUGGUGCUUGCACCGAAAGACGAGUGGCGGACGGGUGCGUAACGCGUAUGCAAUCUACCUUUUACUAGGGUAUAGCCCAGAGAAAUUUGGAUUAAUCCCCUAUAAUAUCAAAAUUCCGCAUGGUUUUUUGACUAAAGCUUCGGUGGUAAAAGAUGAGCAUGCGUCCUAUUAGUUUGUAGGUGAGGUAACGGCUCACCUAGACUACGAUAGGUAGGGGCCCUGAGAGGGGGAUCCCCCACACUGGUACUGAGACACGGACCAGACUCCUACGGGAGGCAGCAGUGAGGAAUAUUGGACAAUGGACGAAAGUCUGAUCCAGCUAUGCCGCGUGCAGGAUGACAGCCCUACGGGUUGUAAACUGCUUUUAUACAGGAAGAAAAACUCCGACGUGUCGGGGCUUGACGGUACUGUAAGGAUAAGGAUCGGCUAACUCCGUGCCAGCAGCCGCGGUAAUACGGAGGAUCCAAGCGUUAUCCGGAAUUAUUGGGUUUAAAGGGUCCGCAGGCUGUUUUUUAAGUCAGAGGUGAAAUCCUGCAGCUCAACUGUAGAAUUGCCUUUGAAACUGAAAGACUUGAGUUAUUGUGAAGUGGUUAGAAUGUGUGGUGUAGCGGUGAAAUGCAUAGAUAUCACACAGAAUACCAAUUGCGAAGGCAGAUCACUAACAAUUAACUGACGCUCAGGGACGAAAGCGUGGGUAGCGAACAGGAUUAGAUACCCUGGUAGUCCACGCCGUAAACGAUGGAUACUAGCUGUAUGUCUACUUCAGGUAGAUGUGUGGCUAAGCGAAAGUGAUAAGUAUCCCACCUGGGGAGUACGAUCGCAGGAUUGAAACUCAAAGGAAUUGACGGGGGCCCGCACAAGCGGUGGAGCAUGUGUUUAAUUCGAUGAUCGCGAGGAACCUUACCAGGGCUUAAAUGUAGCGGGACAGGUCUAGAGAUAGACCCUUCCUCGGACUCAUUACAGGGCUUGCAUGAUGUGUCAGUUCGGGGCUGGAGGGGUCAGGUUAGUCUUAUAACGAGGGCAGCCCCAUCGUUAGUUGCCACGAGUAUGUCGGAACUUAACGAACCUGCCGGUGCAAACCGUGAGGAAGGUGUGGGAUGACGUCAAUCAUGUCACGGCCCUUAACUG
rnacentral:rRNA from 1 species